CUUCCCUCUGACCACUAGGAUUCUAAUGCAUCAGGCACUCUGUCCCCCACCUCCCUGCAUUCAUAGGUUUAGGUCAAUCCUAACAAUUCAUGUAAGGGAUCACAUUAUCCCCAUUAUAAGACAGGGAAACUGAGGCUCAAACUUUUCUAGGUUAAUACAGUUAAGUGCUUCUUUCGGAUUCAAAUCCAGGCUGGCCCAAAGGUCUGAACUCUUCCCUUGUCCAUCUGAAGACACCUGCUGAGCACUUACAAUGUGGUUGUCCUUUUAGCUGCUUUGAGGUUUGUUGAGAACAAACUUUCUACAAGUCCUACUUCCUGUUAAGUUGGUCCCUGGUCACCACUCCUACUACAAGGGCAUGACUUCUGUGUGCAAGGACUGUUCCUGGAAGAAAGUUGUAUACAAAAAAGGAAGGAUUGAAAAAUUCCUUUCAUGGAACUGAUGGAUCUCUCCACUGGAAUUCCUUUAGGUAUUUUCAGUCAGCAUGAUGGGGCGGGAAGGUCCCCUGGAAAUCAACUCCUUUCAGGGGCUUCCAAGGUGAAAUCUGAAACCGGCCCCCAUAGGCAAAGGGAAGAGGCAAGACAGAAGAGGCAGGCCACUAAGUUGGUGGAUGGCGGCUUUCAUAAAGGGAAUUUCCACGCAAGGUAGGUCUUGGGUGGCAGCGAGAGGAGUGGAGGUCUAGACCCAUCCACCAGAUC
rnacentral:lncRNA from 12 species